AUGUUUGAACCUUCCGUGGUGAGUGAGGCAAAUACUUGGCCAUUACAAGGAAAAGAAAAGGUCUCCAAUAGCAUAACUUCUCUUUGAUUUAAAAGAAAAUAUAAAAUGCUAAACACUUCUUCACAAUUUUGCCGAUAUCAGUUUUUUUUUUUUUUUGUUUCAUGCGAACUAACAAAUUUGACACCAAAAAAUUAUUAUAUGCAUAUAUUGAUUGGUUUAAGUAGCAUCAGAAAAAAAUUAAACUGAUUUUUAUUUAUUUAAAUGGAAAAUUUGAAUGUAUGUGAACAAAUGGUUUCUU
rnacentral:lncRNA from 1 species